AUUGAACGCUGGCGGCAUGCUUUACACAUGCAAGUCGAACGGCAGCACGGGUGCUUGCACCUGGUGGCGAGUGGCGAACGGGUGAGUAACACAUCGGAACGUACCCAGUUGUGGGGGAUAACCUACCGAAAGGUAGGCUAAUACCGCAUGAGCUCGGGAGAGGAAAGCGGGGGAUCGUAAGACCUCGCGCGAUUGGAGCGGCCGAUGUCCGAUUAGCUAGUUGGUGGGGUAAAGGCCUACCAAGGCGACGAUCGGUAGCUGGUCUGAGAGGAUGAUCAGCCACACUGGGACUGAGACACGGCCCAGACUCCUACGGGAGGCAGCAGUGGGGAAUUUUGGACAAUGGGGGCAACCCUGAUCCAGCCAUGCCGCGUGAGUGAAGAAGGCCUUCGGGUUGUAAAGCUCUUUCGGUGGGAACGAAAUGGCCCGUGCUAACACCAUGGGUCGAUGACGGUACUCACAGAAGAAGCACCGGCUAACUACGUGCCAGCAGCCGCCGUAA
rnacentral:rRNA from 1 species